rnacentral:rRNA from 1 species
GUAUAAUGGGUCAGCGACUUAUAUUCUGUAGCAAGGUUAACCGAAUAGGGGAGCCGGAGGGAAACCGAGUCUUAACCGGGCGUUAAGUUGCAGGGUAUAGACCCGAAACCCGGUGAUCUAGCCAUGGGCAGGUUGAAGGUUGGGUAACACUAACUGGAGGACCGAACCGACUAAUGUUGAAAAAUUAGCGGAUGACCUGUGGCUGGGGGUGAAAGGCCAAUCAAACCGGGAGAUAGCUGGUUCUCCCCGAAAGCUAUUUAGGUAGCGCCUCGUGAAUUCAUCUCCGGGGGUAGAGCACUGUUUCGGCUAGGGGGCCAUCCCGGCUUACCAACCCGAUGCAAACUGCGAAUACCGGAGAAUGUUAUCACGGGAGACACACGGCGGGUGCUAACGUCCGUCGUGAAGAGGGAAACAACCCAGACCGCCAGCUAAGGUCCCAAAGUCAUGGUUAAGUGGGAAACGAUGUGGGAAGGCCCAGACAGCCAGGAUGUUGGCUUAGAAGCAGCCAUCAUUUAAAGAAAGCGUAAUAGCUCACUGGUCGAGUCGGCCUGCGCGGAAGAUGUAACGGGGCUAAACCAUGCACCGAAGCUGCGGCAGCGACGCUGAUGCGUUGUUGGGUAGGGGAGCGUUCUGUAAGCCUGCGAAGGUGUGUCGUGAGGCAUGCUGGAGGUAUCAGAAGUGCGAAUGCUGACAUAAGUAACGAUAAAGCGGGUGAAAAGCCCGCUCGCCGGAAGACCAAGGGUUCCUGUCCAACGUUAAUCGGGGCAGGGUGAGUCGACCCCUAAGGCGAGGCCGAAAGGCGUAGUCGAUGGGAAACGGGUUAAUAUUCCCGUACUUGGUGUUACUGCGAAGGGGGGACGGAGAAGGCUAUGUUGGCCGGGCGACGGUUGUCCCGGUUUAAGCGUGUAGGUGUGUGUUCCAGGUAAAUCCGG